CGUUUUAGUCUGUCAAAUGUGGACUGCAGGGUGGUUGGGAGCAUGGGAUGGGGGUAGGAGGAAAACCCCAUGCGCUGUGUCUCCUUGUCAGUGCCCUGCCCAUUCCAUCGGGCUGCACCCUCUUGCCAACCAGCUGAACCCCACCCCUCUGUCAGGUCCCCAGAAUGACCCAUUGAGCAGGAAGGAGACAAGAGCUGGCAGGUGCUGGCAGGUUGCCAAAGGGUGCGUGGGAGUUAGCAUUAGCAGGUCAACACCAGAUCUGUUAGGACUCAAGAUCUAGGUUUAUAAACAUUCCUGAGCACUGGUCUCCCUGUCAAUAAAAGCGUUUCUGCUAUCUACAUGGAAUUGACCAGAUACCACCUUGGCCUCUGCCAAUCAAUGUAGGGAGGCCUCCAGGACCCAGAGUGUCCCUGCACUGAAUAGGCCUCCCUAUGUGGGCUGGCCCCAGGUAGUGCUGAAGGGACAAAGGGGAAAACCACAAGAAAUCCUAGCUGAAAGGAAAGAUAUCUUGGAGCUGGCGGCGGGACAAUCAUGCCCAUCACACCAUGGGGGAGGGGACCUGGAAGAGGAAGUACACUGACUCCUCCUCUCCCAUCUAGUGCUGAGGCCCACAGGGGAUCUGGAAGGCUUCUGGUGGCCCCUGGAAAAUAAACUAAGUCGCAGUCCAGACAUGUGGUUGUGCAAUGAGGAAAAUGCACUGUGACACCUUUGUGUGUCCAGUAAACAUUUACUGAGCAUCUGCUUUUUGCUGGUGUCACCCCAGCAGUGUUGCGGCCCCUACAAGUGUGCCUGUAGGAUGCAGCUGGGACACUUUGGGAAGCCCAGUCUCGCCUGGGCUCACCAUGGGAACAGGCGAUGGGGGUCUGCACUUCCUACCAAGCAAAAGCAGGUGAUGCAAUGCGGGGUACAGCCACUGGCCUGCACCCGGCAAAGCAGCAUCAAUAAAUGAAUCAGAAAGCUGCAGCAAGGGACGCCCAGUGAUCCGCCACCUUCCCCAUGCCGGCGCCCGAGGCCUCGCGCGCCGCAGUACAGAGAUCGCCACGUGCAGCGACAGACUCCGCCUACGCGCCCCACCCCGCCCAUCUCCAAGGGCGAGGGCGCGGGCGCGCUUGCGUCACUGCCCAGCCGGCUGGAUCUGGUUCCAGCCGAGCAGUCGGUCUGACCUGCGCAAUGCUUACGCGCUGCGGCGGGCUGUGGGCCGGGUGAGAGGGUGCCGGGUUCGUGUGGGGGUCCCGGCUGCCUUCCCCGGAAGACGCCCACCAGCCGGGACGCGGAGAAUGAGGAAGAGGGCUGACAGGAGUCCAAGGCUUUGCAUUUCUGGGAAGAGUGUCCAGCAGCUUUCAUCAUGUUCUCCCAGGCCCAGGUGGGAGGAGGCUAAAUGAAGACCACAAAACUAGGAUGCAUAGAAAGACUCCAUGUAGAAGAGCCUGGCUUCCCAAGGAUAUCGUAUAUGGUGUUGGCCUGGGACUGUGGACUUUCAACCUGGGUCAGGAAGUUUUAGCCUGGAUAAAGUAAACAUACCUGUUUUCACCUUCAAGAGACAUGUGGCAUUUCUUUCUACUGUGACCGCAAUGGACAGCAGUGGCCUGGGCAGGACUUAGGCUGAAUGGUGGAAGCACAGAGGCUUCCUGUCUAUCGCAACUGGGAACAUCUCACUGUCCUCAGUUCCAUUUCCCAGAUAUGGAACCUUUGACCUGAGGCUUGGUUUUGUCAUUUGAUGUGUUGACGAAGUACAGGUAUCACUGGGACUGUGGUAUUUUUUGUGGGCUGAUAAUAAGUACAGUUUGUAUGUAAGUGUAUCUCCAUGUUCUGCUUUAUGUAAUUAUUUUGGUUUGUCUUGGGGUUUUUGGCAGUACUGGGAAUUGAACUGAGGGCCUCACACAUGCUAUGCAAGUGCUCUUCCACUAAACUGCAUCCCUAGCCCCUGCUUUGUGCAUUUAGAAAUGUCAUUCCAGGAAGGGUCCCUAGGCAGUGUCAUCCCUUUGGUCACAGCUGGGCUGCAGCAGGAGAGCUGGCCCUAAGCCCCCAUGGUGACCUGGAUGGGUGGCCGCCCUCCCUGUCCUCCAGGAGCUCACGUAUGCCUGCUUGUGAGCGCCUCGAUGACAGAGCCGGCGUCCGCCUCUGUGUCUGCAGCCUCUCAUGGCAGCAUCCUUGAGUGGCCAUACUGGUGCUCAAAAGUUGCUCCGUUUGUGAUCAGGAUGUCUUAGGAUGGGAGAGCAGGCAGUAGUGAGGAAGGAGCCAGACAACGCUCACAUCCUAGUUCAGUCAGAUACUACUAUGUUGGAAGGUUGGGAGAAGCAGGGUCGGAAGAAUUUAGGGAUGUGUGUAUUUAUUAAUAAUUCUAAUCAAGUCUGUCAUGUAUGUCUCAUCAUUAAAAGGACCCCAUGACCCCUUCAGUCAUGGCCCUGGUCCCAGGCAGGAUUCUUGAACAGGAUCUUUCCAUGUGCCUUCAGAUGUUACUGUGGGAAGAAUCCAGCAUAGGUUGUCCCUGGAUGACAUUGCACACCCACCUACGUUUCUAUAAUUGUCUCAAUAAAAGGCUUAAUUUUUUAAAGUC